rnacentral:rRNA from 1 species
AUUGAAGAUUUAUCUGAUUGAAGUUUGUAACAAUGGCUUAGUGGCGGACUGGUGAGUAACACGUAAGCAACCUGCCUAUUAGAGGGGAACAACAGUUAGAAAUGACUGCUAAUACCGCAUAUGCCAUAGUGAGGACAUCCUCACAGUGGGAAAGGAGCAAUCCGCUAAUAGAUGGGCUUGCGUCUGAUUAGCUAGUUGGUGGGGUAACGGCCUACCAAGGCGACGAUCAGUAGCCGGUCUGAGAGGAUGAACGGCCACAUUGGGACUGAGAUACGGCCCAGACUCCUACGGGAGGCAGCAGUGGGAAUAUUGGGCAAUGGGGGAAACCCUGACCCAGCAACGCCGCGUGAAGGAAGAAGGCUUUCGGGUUGUAAACUUCUUUACCAGGGACGAAGGACGUGACGGUACCUGGAGAAAAAGCCACGGCUAACUACGUG